rnacentral:rRNA from 1 species
UACGUAGGGUGCGAGCGUUGUCCGGAAUUACUGGGCGUAAAGAGUUCGUAGGCGGUUUGUCGCGUCGUCUGUGAAAACCCAUCGCUCAACGAUGGGCCGGCAGGCGAUACGGGCAGACUUGAGUACUGCAGGGGGAGACUGGAAUUCCUGGUGUAGCGGUGAAAUGCGCAGAUAUCAGGAGGAACACCGGUGGCGAAGGCGGGUCUCUGGGCAGUAACUGACGCUGAGGGGCGAAAGCGUGGGGAGCGAACAGGA